GCCUGGGUGGCUCAGUCAGUUAAGCAUCUGACUUUGGCUCAGGUCACGAUGUCACAGUUCAUGGGUUCGAGCCCUCCCUCGGGCU
rfam:Felis catus isolate Cinnamon breed Abyssinian chromosome F2, whole genome shotgun sequence.